rnacentral:rRNA from 1 species
UACGGAGGGGGCUAGCGUUGUUCGGAAUUACUGGGCGUAAAGCGCUCGUAGGCGGCUUGGUAAGUUAGAGGUGAAAGCCUGGAGCUCAACUCCAGAAUUGCCUUUAAGACUGCCGAGCUAGCAGGUGAGAGAGGUGAGUGGAAUUCCGAGUGUAGAGGUGAAAUUCGUAGAUAUUCGGAAGAACACCAGUGGCGAAGGCGGCUCACUGGCUCAUAAUGGACGCUGAGGUGCGAAAGCGUGGGGAGCAAACAGG